CCUACGGGGGGCAGCAGUGGGGAAUCUUGCGCAAUGGACGAAAGUCUGACGCAGCGACGCCGCGUGGGUGAUGAAGGCCUUCGGGUUGUAAAGCCCUGUGGGGAGAGAAGAAUAAGUGCGGGCUAAUACCCCGCAUGAUGACGGUAUCUCCUUAGCAAGCACCGGCUAACUCUGUGCCAGCAGCCGCGGUAAGCCAGAGGGUGCAAACGUUGUUCGGAAUUACUGGGCGUAAAGCGUGUGUAGCCGAUCUGAAAGCCCCGGGCUCAACCCGGGAAGUGCACUCGAUACUGGUAGGCUAGAGUACUGGAGAGGUUGGUGGAAUGCUCUGUGUAGAGGUGAAAUUCGUAGAUAUCGAGAGGAACACCGGUGGCGAAGGCGGCCAACUGGACAGAUACUGACGCUGAGACACGAAAGCGUGGGGAGCAAACAGGAUUAGAUACCCCAGUAGUC
rnacentral:rRNA from 1 species